AGAAACUUAGGAUUAAACCUAAACCAAGGGCCUUCAAAUCCCAAAACAGGGGUGAAAACCCCCUAGUUUCUG
rnacentral:tRNA from 1 species